rnacentral:ncRNA from 1 species
UUGAAUGCUCGAUCAUGGAAUAAUAAAAGAGGACUUCGGUUCUAUUUGUUGGUUCAGGAACUGAAUUAAUGGUUAAGAGGGACAACUCGGGGGCAUUCGUAUCCCUGCGCGAGAGGUGAAAUUCGUGGACCGCAGGGGGACGCCCUAAAGCGAAAGCAUUUGCCAAGAAUGUCUUCAUUAAUCAAGAACGAAAGUCAGAGGUUCGAAGGCGAUUAGAUACCGCCCUAGUUCUGACCGUAAACUAUGCCAUCUAGCGAUCCAAUGGGGUAUUGUAGCCUUGUUGGGGAGCUUCCCGGAAACGAAAGUUUUCGGUUCCUGGGGUAGUAUGGUUGCAAAGCUGAAACUUAAAGAAAUUGACGGAAGGGCACCACCAGGAGUGGAGCCUGCGGCUUAAUUUGACUCAACACGGGAAAACUCACCCGGCCCGGACACCGUUAGGAUUGACAGAUUGAAAGCUCUUUCUCGAUUUGGUGGUUGGUGGUGCAUGGCCGUUCUUAGUUGGUGGAGCGAUUUGUCUGGUUUAUUCCGAUAACGAGCGAGACUCUAGCCUGCUAAAUAGUGUCCAGAUAUAUAAGUCUGGCUUACUUCUUAGAGGGAUAAGCGGUGUUUAGCCGCACGAGAUUGAGCGAUAACAGGUCUGUGAUGCCCUUAGAUGUUCGGGGCUGCACGCGCGCUACACUGGAAGAAUCAGCUGGUCCUUCCAUUGCCGAAAGGUAUUGGUAAACCGUUGAAACUCUUCCGUGACCGGGAUAGGGAAUUGUAAUUAUUUCCCUUGAACGAGGAAUUCCUAGUAAGUGUGAGUCAUCAGCUCACGUUGAUUACGUCCCUGCCCUUUGUACACACCGCCCGUCGCUGUCCGGGACUGAGCUGUUUCGAGAAGAGUGGAGACUGCUGUAUUGGGGCUUUCGGGCUCUGGUAUGAUGGAAACCAUUUUAAUCGCAAUGGCUUGAACCGGGCAAAAGUCGUAACAAGGUAUCUGUAGGUGAACCUGCAGAUGGAUCAUCG